CCCCUAGACGUUCUGGGCUGCACGCGCGCUACAAUAAUACGCACAGCGAGUAUCACCGAGCUCGAAAGGGCAAGGUAAACAAUAGAAAAGGUACUGUAAUGGUUAUAGAUCCUUGUAAUUAUUGAUCUUCAACGAGGAAUUCCUAGUAAGUAUGUGUCAUCAUCACGCACUGAUUACGUCCCUGCCCUUUGUACACACCGCCCGUCGCUCCUACCGAUUGGGUGAGCCGAUGAAACUCUCGGAUGUAGGCUAUUCAUAGCCCGCAGAAGAGAUUUGAAUCGUAGAGCUUAGAGGAAGGAGAAGUCGUAACA
rnacentral:rRNA from 1 species